rnacentral:rRNA from 1 species
AGCGAACGCUGGCGGCAGGCCUAAUACAUGCAAGUCGAACGGAUCCUUCGGGAUUAGUGGCGGACGGGCGAGUAACACGUGGGAACGUGCCCUUUGGUUCGGAACAACUCAGGGAAACUUGAGCUAAUACCGGAUAAGCCCUUCGGGGAAGGAUUAUCGCCAUUGGAGCGGCCCGCGUCUGAUUAGCUAGUUGGUGGGGUAAAGGCCUACCAAGGCGACGAUCAGUAGCUGGUCUGAGAGGAUGAUCAGCCACACUGGGACUGAGACACGGCCCAGACUCCUAC